GGUUCUCUCCGAAAUAGCUUUAGGGCUAGCCUCAAGUGAUGAUUAUUGGAGGUAGAGCACUGUUUGGACGAGGGGCCCCUCUCGGGUUACCGAAUUCAGACAAACUCCGAAUGCCAAUUAAUUUAACUUGGGAGUCAGAACAUGGGUGAUAAGGUCCGUGUUCGAAAGGGAAACAGCCCAGACCACCAGCUAAGGUCCCAAAAUAUAUGUUAAGUGGAAAAGGAUGUGGCGUUGCCCAGACAACUAGGAUGUUGGCUUAGAAGCAGCCAUCAUUUAAAGAGUGCGUAAUAGCUCACUAGUCGAGUGACACUGCGCCGAAAAUGUACCGGGGCUAAACAUAUUACCGAAGCUGUGGAUUGUCCUUUGGACAAUGGUAGGAGAGCGUUCUAAGGGCGUUGAAGCAUGAUCGUAAGGACAUGUGGAGCGCUUAGAAGUGAGAAUGCCGGUGUGAGUAGCGAAAGACGGGUGAGAAUCCCGUCCACCGAUUGACUAAGGUUUCCAGAGGAAGGCUCGUCCGCUCUGGGUUAGUCGGGUCCUAAG
rnacentral:rRNA from 1 species